GACAGAGGGUGCGAACGUUGUUCGGAAUUACUGGGCGUAAAGCGCGUGUAGGCGGGUGAUCAAGUCGCGUGUGAAAGCCCCCGGCUCAACUGGGAAACUGCAUCGGAAACUGAUCGGCUUGAAGAUGGGAGAGGGUAGUGGAAUUCCUGGUGUAGCGGUGGAAUGCGCAGAUAUCAGGAGGAACACCGAUGGCGAAGGCAGGUCUCUGGGCACUUACUGACGCUGAGGAGCGAAAGCGUGGGGAGCGAACAGG
rnacentral:rRNA from 1 species